CUCAAAGAUGGGAAACACACAUCAACAUUUGGAUCUACAGGACUCUAUUAGGCACUUGCUCCUGUACCAAUAAUACCAGUGUAACCUAUGCUCUAAUACUAAUUUGUCAUGAUCUAAUUCAUGAGUCGUGAUAGCACUUACUAUAACCCACCAAUAGGUAACCUAACACCAUAACUCAAAGCUAAGGUAAUGGGUUACUUUGGUAGAAUAUCCUAACAUAGGGUCAC
rnacentral:lncRNA from 1 species